CCUCCUUUUGUUGGCAUAUUUUGGUUCAGUACAGGUGUGUAAUGGGUAGAGGUAAAGAAAUGCCAGUGCUUUGUCUUCGAUGCCAGCAUGUUUAUUGUCUGCUGGUUCUACCCUCAAUCAUUGGAACAAGC
ensembl:snoRNA